GUCUAUGGCCAUGCUACCCUGAACAAACCCGAUCCCUUCUGAUCUUGGAAGCUAAGCAGGGUCAGGCCUGGUUAGUACGCGGAUGGGAGACCACCUAGAAGACCAGGUGCUGUAGGCA
rnacentral:rRNA from 1 species